rnacentral:rRNA from 1 species
UACGUAGGGGGCAAGCGUUGUCCGGAAUCAUUGGGCGUAAAGAGCGUGUAGGCGGCUCGGUAAGUCCGCUGUGAAAGUCCAGGGCUCAACCCUGGAAUGCCGGUGGAAACUGUCGAGCUAGAGUCCGGAAGAGGCGAGUGGAAUUCCUGGUGUAGCGGUGAAAUGCGCAGAUAUCAGGAGGAACACCAAUAGCGAAGGCAGCUCGCUGGGACGUUACUGACACUAAGGCGCGAAAGCGUGGGGAGCGAACAGG